UUUUUGGUCAACCAUCUGAUU
rnacentral:piRNA from 1 species